rnacentral:lncRNA from 1 species
AUGUUUUUGCCGUUACAAAGUUGACAUAGAAUAAAAUUACGGAGUAAUUUGUACUCAGCAAAACUAAUCUAUAAUGAAAUGAAUCCAUGAUGACAUCCUGUAACUUUAAGCACGUCAUCAGAGGAUGAAGAUUAAGUAGAGAGCACUUCCUUAGUUACAAGGGAUAUAAUCAGUUGUUUAUUGGCAACAUUAUUUCAUUUGUGUUAUGUAGUUGACAUUUUUUUAAGUACGAAAUGAAAAGUAAAAAAAAAAUGCUAAUAAAAUCUAAUAAUUCCCUGUAUUUGUGUAUACAUACCUGCAGUGAUACCUAUAUAUUUAUAAUAACAAAAGAAAAAUAAUAAUUUCCGCUGGGUAUUAAAACCAGUAUUUGAAAAAGACUAGUUUUUCAAUUUCGUACAAGCAAUUUUGGGGUUUUUGGACCCUUUGAAACCCACUGGAAGCAAUUUCUGUAGCUUAAUUUCAUAUUGAAUUUGCUGAAACUUGUUACACACACCAAAAACUAAAUUGUGUAUCUAAAAAUUGGAUAAAAAUAUUUACACUUUUUUAGAAAAAUUGAUUGUACAAGAAAAUCCACAUUUUUUGAAAAAGGCCCUUAAAUGUUGUUGAAAAGUUGAUUGUAGAAUUGGAGAUAACUGAAUUGUCAUGGGUAAAUUUUGUGGCGGAUUAUCAUUCUGUACUAAAGUCCGAAUGAUAAUUUUGGCGAAAUUUACUUCAUUUUAUGCAGACUAUGGAUAGCCCAGCUGCUAAUUCUGAAAUAUUGCUGAAUGGACCGCCCUUCAGUACACCAGCUUUGGAUCGCCCAGCUGUGAUACAAUGAUUAGUUCAAUCGUCAUCAACAUUUUAUUGAUUGACAAAUAUUUUGG